rnacentral:lncRNA from 1 species
AAGAAAAGUGAAUAGCUGUGACUUGAUUCUGAGGGUUUUGGCUCUGCUGCUGACACUUGUAGCUGCCAUAGUUCUCGGGGUGAAUAAGCAGACUAAGGUUGUUCCAAUUCAGAUCGCACCAACCUUGCCUCCUCUAAACAUUGAAGCCCAAGCUAGGUGGCAUUACUUGUCUGCCUUCGUGUAAGUCAUCUAUUCAUACACUUGCAAUGAUGUUUCUUUCAAUGAAAUGUUCAUGCACUUCAAAAAAAAAAAAAAAAAACAGUUGCAAUUCAAGUAAGGUUCCACAAAUGAUGGUCUGUACGUUAGAUAUUAAUGUAAUUAUUUAAAUUUAUAUUUUUAUUAAAAAUAUAUAUAAAUGUGUCUAUUUCACAUUGAAAUGAUUAUUUUACUUCUCAAAAUUAUAAUUUCUUUGUUCUCUUUUUUUUCUUUAUACCCAAUUUUAAUUAGCUUUACUAAGUUGUUUUAAUAAUUUUUUUUCCUUUUAACAAAAGAAAAGCGUAGAGAUUUCCCACCCAUUGGAACCACUUGAGUUAAUUAGUCGAAAUUACUUUCUUUCCAUACAAAAUUCUUUUAAGUACUUACCAAGGUCAACUGGGGGACCUGGAACUCAAGAACAUGGCCCCUUUAUUGAAAUCAUAAAUAUACAGAGGCGGAGCCUCCUUAAGGGAUGGGUCCUCCAAAAUUUUUUAAUGUUUUUUUAUAUUAUAUAAAAUUUUUAAAUUUUUUAAAAUUCUUUUAAUGAUUUUCAAAAUAAUUUUAUUUAAUAAUUAAUAUAAAUAAAAACUAAUAAAAUAAUUCUAUAUAUUUGACUUAAUUUUAAUUUUUUUUAUUUUUUUAAAUUUAUAUUUAAAUUUAAAUUUAUAUUUAUAUUUUAUUUACUCAUAUAUUCAAAUCUCUAUAGAUUUUCUUCUACAAAUUUUUACGAACCAUAAACUAUAUAUAUUUUUUUAUUAUGUCAUAUAUAAAUUCUAUAUUCUACUUGUCAUAUGUGAGUUUUAUAUUCUACUUAUCAUAUUCUUCUUUUUUCUGUUAUGUGAAUUUAUUUUUUAUGAUUUUAAUAUUUAAAAAUUAAUAAAUUAUUAUGUAAUUUUCAAAUAUAAGUUGUAGUGUUUCACUUUUACUUAGAAUUUCAUUAAUGUAUUAUUUUUUAUUCAAAAUAACCAAUGCGUUCUGACAUAUAUGUUGCCCUCAAAAUAAUUUUUUAUUUAAUAAUUAUUUUUAUUCCUCAAAUCGUUUGAUAAAAUUAAAAUCAUUAUGAUCAACAUAUUGCUAGUUAAACCUUAGAAAUAAAUUGUAACUUAAUAUGUUAAGCCUAUCAAAUUUUAAAAAAUAAAAUAAAAGUGAGUCUACUAACCCAAACGUACUAAGUUUUAAUAUAAAUUUAAGUCAAUUUAAUAUAUUAUAUCUUAACAGUCCAACUCAAUAACUUAUCAUAACAUAUUCUAUUUUAAUAGUUCAACCUAAUAACCCUAUAUAUUAAUUAGCAAUUUAAGAGGUAAAUACAAAAUAAGAGGAAAGCUUCCUCAAAAAGCUAUCCAUUUCAUGUAGAACACACAGAGUAAAAAGAUAAUUUAUUUGAGUUGAAAAAUUGUUUUCUCUUUCACUCUUGCGCAUAGAGAAUGAGAGACUCAUUUCAUAGUUCGAUUUAGUUAUAUAUAUAUAUAUAUGUGGCACCAUCAUUAUUGUUAAUGUGUUUUUUUUAUAUGUCUAAUAUCUUUUGAAUUUUGUUUAAUUUUAUAAAUAAGUGAAAAUUGAAUUAUAUAUAAAAUUACUAUUUAGUGUAUUAUCUGUUUAGCUCCUUGAAAAAUGUUCUAACUCCACCCUUGUAUAUAUAUAUAUAUAUAAUUACUCUAGAUAUGAUCAAUGGAUAAAAUAAAUAACUCCAAUAUGACAACUCUUGUUUCGUACAUAAUCCAUUUCUUUCUCUCCUUUCUUUUUUGAACUUGAAAAUAUCUUAAAGCCAUGUGUGUGUGCAUUAGGAUUCUUACAUAAACAAAAUUUGCACCAUCCUGCCAUGAGAGAGGCUAUCCGGAAGACAGCAAGAACAAUUAAGGGAUUUAUUUUCUUCAAAUCCUUAAACCCAUGUCCUGUCCCUCAUCUUAAUUAUGUAUUCAUGAUGAUAAAACAGGGUUACUCAAAGAUAAUUAUUUUUUUAUCUCAUUUGCUAGGUACGCCAUGGUGUCAAACAUCAUAGCAUGCUCCUAUGCUGCAAUAUCUAUACUCAUGGUGAUGGGAACCCGAAAUGCAAAGAAAGGACUGGCACAAACCGUCAUCCUCCUCCUCGACCUGGUCAUGGUGGCAUUGCUAUUCUCCGCCAACGGAGCUGCCUUCGCCAUCGGCCUGAUGGGCUACAAAGGCAACUCCCACG